rnacentral:rRNA from 1 species
AUGGGCGCAGCCUGAUCCAGCAAUGCCGCGUGCAGGAAGAAGGCCUUCGGGUUGUAAACUGCUUUUGUACGGAACGAAACGGUCUGGGUUAAUACCCUGGGCUAAUGACGGUACCGUAAGAAUAAGCACCGGCUAACUACGUGCCUGCAGCCGCGGUAAUACGUAGGGUGCAAGCGUUAAUCGGAAUUACUGGGCGUAAAGCGCACGUAGGCGGAUUAGAAAGUCAGAGGUGAAAUCCCAGGGCUCAACCUUGGAACUGCCUUUGAAACUCCUAGUCUUGAGGUCGAGAGAGGUGAGUGGAAUUCCGAGUGUAGAGGUGAAAUUCGUAGAUAUUCGGAGGAACACCAGUGGCGAAGGCGGCUCACUGGCUCGAUAC